GACGAACGCUGGCGGCGUGCUUAACACAUGCAAGUCGAGCGGUAAGGCCCUUUCGGGGGUACGACGAGCGGCGAACGGUGAGUAACACGUGGGUGACCUGCCCUUAGCUCUGGGAUAAGCCUGGGAAACUGGGUCUAAUACCGGAUAUGACUCCAUAACGCAUGUUGUGGGGUGGAAAGCCUUGUGCGGCUAGGGAUGGGCCCGCGGCCUAUCAGCUUGUUGGUGGGGUGAUGGCCUACCAAGGCGACGACGGGUAGCCGGCCUGAGAGGGCGACCGGCCACACUGGGACUGAGACACGGCCCAGACUCCUACGGGAGGCAGCAGUGGGGAAUCUUGCGCAAUGGGCGAAAGCCUGACGCAGCGACGCCGCGUGGGGAUGAC
rnacentral:rRNA from 1 species